GAUGAACGCUGGCGGCGUGCCUAAUACAUGCAAGUCGAGCGAACGGACGAGAAGCUUGCUUCUCUGAUGUUAGCGGCGGACGGGUGAGUAACACGUGGAUAACCUACCUAUAAGACUGGGAUAACUUCGGGAAACCGGAGCUAAUACCGGAUAAUAUUUUGAACCGCACGGUUCAAAAGUGAAAGACGGUCUUGCUGUCACUUAUAGAUGGAUCCGCGCUGCAUUAGCUAGUUGGUAAGGUAACGGCUUACCAAGGCAACGAUGCAUAGCCGACCUGAGAGGGUGAUCGGCCACACUGGAACUGAGACACGGUCCAGACUCCUACGUGAGGCAGCAGUAGGGAAUCUUCCGCAAUGGGCGAAAGCCUGACGGAGCAACGCCGCGUGAGUGAUGAAGGUCUUCGGAUCGUAAAACUCUGUUAUUAGGGAAGAACAUAUGUGUAAGUAACUGUGCACAUCUUGACGGUACCUAAUCAGAAAGCCACGGCUAACUACGUG
rnacentral:rRNA from 1 species